UUUGAAAUCUGGCGUCUUCGACGUCCGAGUUGUAAUUUGAAGAAGGCGACUUUGUAGCUGGUCCUUGUCUAUGUUCCUUGGAACAGGACGUCAUAGAGGGUGAGAAUCCCGUGUGGCGAGGAUCCCAGUUAUUUGUAAAGUGCUUUCGACGAGUCGAGUUGUUUGGGAAUGCAGCUCUAAGUGGGUGGUAAAUUCCAUCUAAAGCUAAAUAUUGGCGAGAGACCGAUAGCGAACAAGUACAGUGAUGGAAAGAUGAAAAGAACUUUGAAAAGAGAGUGAAAAAGUACGUGAAAUUGUUGAAAGGGAAGGGCAUUUGAUCAGACAUGGCGUUUGCUUCGGCUUUCGCUGGGCCAGCAUCAGUUUUAGCGGUUGGAUAAAUCCUCGGGAAUGUGGCUCUGCUUCGGUAGAGUGUUAUAGCCCGUGGGAAUACAGCCAGCUGGGACUGAGGAUUGCGACUUUUGUCAAGGAUGCUGGCGUAAUGGUUA
rnacentral:rRNA from 1 species